UACUUGAGCAGGGUCCCCAACGCCGGA
rnacentral:piRNA from 1 species